GGGUUGUGAGGUUAAGUGACUAAGCGUACACGGUGGAUGCCUAGGCAGUCAGAGGCGAUGAAGGGCGUGCUAAUCUGCGAAAAGCGUCGGUAAGGUGAUAUGAACCGUUACAACCGGCGAUACCCGAAUGGGGAAACCCAGUGUGUUUCGACACAUUAUCAUGUCAUGAAUACAUAGUGGCAUGAGGCGAACCGGGGGAACUGAAACAUCUAAGUACCCCGAGGAAAAGAAAUCAACCGAGAUUCCCCCAGUAGCGGCGAGCGAACGGGGAGGAGCCCAGAACCUGAAUCGGCUUGUGUGUUAGUGGAAGCGUCUGGAAAGUCGCGCAGCAAAGGGUGAUAGCCCCGUACACUAAAAUGCACAGGUCGUGAGUUCGAUGAGUAGGGCGGGACACGUGACAUCCUGUCUGAAUAUGGGGGGACCAUCCUCCAAGGCUAAAUACUCCUGACUGACCGAUAGUGAACCAGUACCGUGAGGGAAAGGCGAAAAGAACCCCGGCGAGGGGAGUGAAAUAGAACCUGAAACCGUGUACGUACAAGCAGUGGGAGCACCUUCGUGGUGUGACUGCGUACCUUUUGUAUAAUGGGUCAGCGACUUAUAUUUUGUAGCAAGGUUAACCGUAUAGGGGAGCCGUAGGGAAACCGAGUCUUAACUGGGCGAAUAGUUGCAAGGUAUAGACCCGAAACCCGGUGAUCUAGCCAUGGGCAGGUUGAAGGUUGGGUAACACUAACUGGAGGACCGAACCGACUAAUGUUGAAAAAUUAGCGGAUGACUUGUGGCUGGGGGUGAAAGGCCAAUCAAACCGGGAGAUAGCUGGUUCUCCCGAAAGCUAUUUAGGUAGCGCCUCGUGAACUCAUCUUCGGGGUAGAGCACUGUUUCGGCUAGGGGCCAUCCCGGCUUACCAAACCGAUGCAAACUCCGAAUACCGAAGAAUGUUAUCACGGGAGACACACGGCGGGUGCUAACGUCCGUCGUGAAGAGGGAAACAACCCAGACCGCCAGCUAAGGUCCCAAAGUCAUGGUUAAGUGGGAAACGAUGUGGGAAGGCACAGACAGCCAGGAUGUUGGCUUAGAAGCAGCCAUCAUUUAAAGAAAGCGUAAUAGCUCACUGGUCGAGUCGGCCUGCGCGGAAGAUGUAACGGGGCUAAACCAUGCACCGAAGCUGCGGCAGCGACGCUUAGGCGUUGUUGGGUAGGGGAGCGUUCUGUAAGCCGUUGAAGGUGGCCUGUGAGGGUUGCUGGAGGUAUCAGAAGUGCGAAUGCUGACAUAAGUAACGAUAAAGCGGGUGAAAAGCCCGCUCGCCGGAAGACCAAGGGUUCCUGUCCAACGUUAAUCGGGGCAGGGUGAGUCGACCCCUAAGGCGAGGCUGAAAAGCGUAGUCGAUGGGAAACAGGUUAAUAUUCCUGUACUUGGUGUUACUGCGAAGGGGGGACGGAGAAGGCUAGGCUGGCCGGGCGACGGUUGUCCCGGUUUAAGCGUGUAGGGGGUGUGACCUGGUAAAUCCGGUUGCAUAUCAACCCUGAGGCGUGAUGACGAUGCACUACGGUGCAGAAGUAGUUGAUGCCCUGCUUCCAGGAAAAUCCUCUAAGCUCCAGGUAACAUUAAAUCGUACCCCAAACCGACACAGGUGGUCAGGUAGAGAAUACCAAGGCGCUUGAGAGAACUCGGGUGAAGGAACUAGGCAAAAUGGUGCCGUAACUUCGGGAGAAGGCACGCUGGCAUGUAGGUGAAGUCCCUUGCGGAUGGAGCUGAAGCCAGUCGAAGAUACCAGCUGGCUGCAACUGUUUAAUAAAAACACAGCACUGUGCAAACACGAAAGUGGACGUAUACGGUGUGACGCCUGCCCGGUGCUGGAAGGUUAAUUGAUGGGGUCAGCCGCAAGGCGAAGCUCUUGAUCGAAGCCCCAGUAAACGGCGGCCGUAACUAUAACGGUCCUAAGGUAGCGAAAUUCCUUGUCGGGUAAGUUCCGACCUGCACGAAUGGCGUAAUGAUGGCCAGGCUGUCUCCACCCGAGACUCAGUGAAAUUGAACUCGCUGUGAAGAUGCAGUGUACCCGCGGCAAGACGGAAAGACCCCGUGAACCUUUACUAUAGCUUGACACUGAACAUUGAGCCUUGAUGUGUAGGAUAGGUGGGAGGCUUUGAAGCGUGGACGCCAGUCUGCGUGGAGCCAUCCUUGAAAUACCACCCUUUAAUGUUUGAUGUUCUAACUCUGCCCCGUAAUCCGGGGUGAGGACAGUGUCUGGUGGGUAGUUUGACUGGGGCGGUCUCCUCCCAAAGAGUAACGGAGGAGCACGAAGGUUAGCUAAUCACGGUCGGACAUCGUGAGGUUAGUGCAAAGGCAUAAGCUAGCUUGACUGCGAGAGUGACGGCUCGAGCAGGUACGAAAGUAGGUCUUAGUGAUCCGGUGGUUCUGAAUGGAAGGGCCAUCGCUCAACGGAUAAAAGGUACUCCGGGGAUAACAGGCUGAUACCGCCCAAGAGUUCAUAUCGACGGCGGUGUUUGGCACCUCGAUGUCGGCUCAUCACAUCCUGGGGCUGAAGUAGGUCCCAAGGGUAUGGCUGUUCGCCAUUUAAAGUGGUACGCGAGCUGGGUUUAGAACGUCGUGAGACAGUUCGGUCCCUAUCUGCCGUGGGCGUUGGAAGAUUGAGAGGGGUUGCUCCUAGUACGAGAGGACCGGAGUGAACGCACCACUGGUGUUCGGGUUGUCAUGCCAAUGGCAUUGCCCGGUAGCUAAGUGCGGAAAAGAUAAGCGCUGAAAGCAUCUAAGCGCGAAACUUGCCUCAAGAUGAGUCUUCCCUUGGACUUUGAGUCCACUGAAGGAACGUUUAAGACUAAGACGUUGAUAGGCUGGGUGUGUAAGUGCAGCGAUGCAUUGAGCUAACCAGUACUAAUGAUCCGUGAGGCUUAACCUUACAACACCGAAGGUGUUUUAG
rnacentral:rRNA from 1 species